CUGAAUCCCUCAGGGUGACUACCUUCCUGUGUAAAAAAUCAAGAGCGUAUUGUAGUUUCACAAAGCAUGACUCAGUAAUUUGUAGUCACUAGACACCAGACUAUUUUUGUUUGGUGAUUUGGGUCACAGUUCCAUCUGAUUAACUGAUUUCAACUGCAAUAACAUUUCAAAGAAUAUUUUUUUAAUCCAGUUCUUUAUGAGCUUACAUCUGUUAGCUUCCGCUUGUUUCUCCACUGUUCCUGGCCCUCGCACCUUCAGAAGAAAAAUCUGUCUCCAAUUUGUCUCCAACAGUGUUGCAGAAGAUGUUCUGCAUGAAAAGGGAUGUAUACGGGAGUAUGCGGAAAGAGGAUACAGCUGGCAAAGCUGCCGUGUGCCCGCAAGGAGCUGCAAGACACAAGCACACCGCGUACGGCCGUUUUCACGAGUCUGCCUGAUUUGGUGUGACUUGGUCUUUCGUAUGCUAAUCAUGCUGUACAAAGCGAGAGGUGGUGUAGUCCAUAGCCACGAAGAUGAUCUAUAGAAAACCACUACCAUGGACCUCAUGUCAGAUGAAGCCAUCUCAUCACCAGGAGGUUGUUUUUAUUAUUAAUGCAUGUUUUUAUACAUUUUUUUUUUUUUUUAUAAUGCACUGUUGUGACUUGUAAGCAGAAAAUAAACAUUUCUGCUGUGAUAGUGCGUCUUAAUUGUGAUAUGGGACAUGAUAAUGACAAUUAUACAUAUUAUGUAAAUGUUACAGGUCCUGGGUGAGGGUACAAGUGGCAGAUUGGUGUUUACUGUUUUUCAGGAGAAAUGGAGAAUACGAGUCAUUUAGCUGAGUGAGGUGGGGCUUCCUCAUCACAGAAAAAGACCCUCCAGCCAAACCAACGCUCCACUACUCCACCUACUGGUCCAACUGUGCUACUGCAUUAAAAUGUUAAGUGGACAAGUAGCUAAUAUUGCACAAAAAUAAAAUAUAAUAAAAAAAAAAAAAACAAUGUGACCUC